CAUGCAAGUAGAACGCUGAAGAGAGGAGCUUGCUCUUCUUGGAUGAGUUGCGAACGGGUGAGUAACGCGUAGGUAACCUGCCUUGUAGCGGGGGAUAACUAUUGGAAACGAUAGCUAAUACCGCAUAACAAUGGAUGACACAUGUCAUUUAUUUGAAAGGGGCAAUUGCUCCACUACAAGAUGGACCUGCGUUGUAUUAGCUAGUAGGUGAGGUAAUGGCUCACCUAGGCGACGAUACAUAGCCGACCUGAGAGGGUGAUCGGCCACACUGGGACUGAGACACGGCCCAGACUCCUACGGGAGGCAGCAGUAGGGAAUCUUCGGCAAUGGGGGCAACCCUGACCGAGCAACGCCGCGUGAGUGAAGAAGGUUUUCGGAUCGUAAAGCUCUGUUGUAAGUCAAGAACGGGUGUGAGAGUGGAAAGUUCACACUGUGACGGUAGCUUACCAGAAAGGGACGGCUAACUACGUGCCAGCAGCCGCGGUAAUACGUAGGUCCCGAGCGUUGUCCGGAUUUAUUGGGCGUAAAGCGAGCGCAGGCGGUUUGAUAAGUCUGAAGUUAAAGGCUGUGGCUCAACCAUGGUUCGCUUUGGAAACUUCAAAC
rnacentral:rRNA from 1 species